CAACUGAGAGAGUGCCCUGAGACAGGGGUCAGUGAGCAGAGGGAGAGAGGGCCAGCUGGCCACUGUGGUAGCCACUGUGGUAGCCAGGUGAGCUUUGAGCAGAAGUGACAUUUGAGCUCUGGAUAGGAACCUGCUGGCCAGAGCUGAGCCAGGCCCUGGGAUGUUGCAGGUCUUGAAGUCCAUUGGCAAUGAUGCUUUCUGGCUCCUUGUCCGGCUAAGGUCACUUUGGAGGCUUGACUCCCUUCCAGCCACUUAGCUCCAGCAUUGUAUCACAUGGUUCCACGUGGACAUUGCUCUGACCUCUGCACUCACCUGCCUGUUUGCGAUUCUUGUGGUAGCUGUUUCGAACUCUGUGCUUUUCUUCUUCGCUUAUUUAUAUAUUUUUUCUCUCUCCCCUUUUGCUCUUUAAAUCUAUUUUUCAAAGAAAUAAUAGGGCUAGAGAGAUGUCUUAGUGUUAGGGGCACUUGCAGGACAGAGUUCCAAUCCCAAGCACCCAUAAGGGACCGUAUACAACUAUCUGUGACUUCAUCGUCAGGGGAUCUCAUGUCCUCUACCCCCACAUAUGUAUGUAGUUUAAAUUACUAAAAAUAAAUCUUGAAAAUAAACUACAUUCUAAUGCAGGAUGUGAGAAGGAAGGUUGCCGUAAAUAAGUGACCACGGGAACAAAGGAAGCCAUGGAGCUGGCUUUCAGCUCUGUACAGGGACUUGCGUGAGACCCCCCCCUAAGCCUCACAUCCUGGGGGUUCACACCCGCCUAAUGCCCUCUCUCCAAGAGGCUAAGCAUGAGGUGAAUCUGGCCCUAAACAACAUGCCCCUGCUGUACUACAAUAUCAUUGAAUGUCACACCAAAAUACAGCCCGCUGCAGGCAUCAUGUAGGCCGAGAGAUGGUGUUCUGUGAGCAUGGAUUCGUCAUAUGGGUUAGACAAAGUGGCGCCCCCCAAAGAAUUAAGCCCCUGGUCCAGAUUCUGUUUUGCUUCAUACAGCUCUCUCCGUUCAAAAGCUGCCUUCCGUGUGAGUGUGUUGUUCUCUUCCUGUGUAGUAUGUAACAGGGCUGGCUUGCUGCCAGGCUGGCUGGUGUCUGAGGAGAAUGAGGUAGAGCCAACCCAGGGCACCCCUUGUUCCAAGCCUGGAGAUGGGCAGCUACCUUUAGAAGAGGAGAGAGGGCAGCCCCUCUCCUGCCACCGUGCAGCAGAAAGAAGGCUGGCUUGGGAAGGAGCUGUAAGGGCCUGGGAGCUGGUGGGUCCCACCAACACCUGGCCUCUGGCUAUCCUUUCCCGAGAUCCUAGGACAGCUGUGAAGCUCUUCAUUAAUGCACCACGUGGUUUCCCACAGCCCAUUAGUGAUUUCCCAGAAGGCCAGUUCCCAAUAUUGAUCUGGAUGCGGCUCCGAGGAGCCCUUUGGCAUCGGAUCCUUUCUGGAGCCAGCCAGGGCCCUGGUGAGCCCUCUGAAGAGAUUCCACAUGCUAAUGAGGGGUCUGGUCGCCCAGCUCCAUCCGUACAGAGCCACUCUCUGUGGAAACAGGCCACUCCCAGAAGUUGCAUCCCCCAAACAUACCGAGUGGGUUUGAGACAGGAGACACGUGCACGUGCCUGGUGUUGGAAGAGUAAUCAUUUCUAAAGAAGUUCCUAACCUGGUUUAUGGAAGGCAAUUACCAAUCUCCCUUCAGUGGGACUGACGUGUUUUCGGCACCUCUCAGAGACUACAGGAGGAAAGAAAUGUGGAGAGGAUAAUUAAGCUUAAUGAGGGAACCCGGAUGUCAUUUCCUCUCCAUAUGAUAGCACCCUGGGCCCCAGCACUCUCUGCUGUUCACUGCCCUUUGCAUUCUACUGGCAGUAACUAGUUAGACCCUGGAGGGAGAGACAUGUCUCUGAUCAAACUCUCAGACCUGGUAACUUCAUGUGGUGCCUAGCCGAGGGAACAUGUUUGUUGGUUUCAUCCUGCAGAUGUCAUGGGUACUUACACACAAGAGAAAUGGCUAUGGCAGGACCGAGUGAGGUCAUCUUAUGGACACCAUCGUGUCCGUGGUCUGUCUCAGACCAUCUUAUAUAAAAUGACACACGGCUGUAUCUCUUCAAUUCUUUUUUGCCGUUUCUAUUUUUCUAAGUUUUAAGACAUUAAGAAAAUGAAAAUGAUAAUAUUUGUGGGAUGUCUUGUGACACAUGUAUAUGUUGUAUAGUGUUCAAAGCAAGGUGGGGACAUUUGUAAUCUCCUUGUGAGGAACUGCAUUUAUAUCCUCUCUGCUAGCGCUUCUGGCCCAUCACUGUUUGAAAGGUCACAUCCAGCCACUGUCACAGGACAGCAGAACUCACUUCUGUGUCUUGGCACCAUCUGUGUCUCUGCUACUCUAGGAAGCAGUUCUGGUUCUGGGGGACAGGACACGAUGUCCUUGUACCCCAGGACAUUCAGCUUGCUAACACCCUUCUCACUCUGUCCAGCAUUCCACACAGUAAGAUCCUUAUCGCACUCAAACGCGGCCUCAGAGCCUAAGCCGGUUCCCGAUCAAAGUUCUCAGUGGCUCUUUCCUCCCCUCUUUCAGUCAUAAGCACAGAAGCCAGGGCCUCAUCACGCUAGGCAAAGUCUCUACCCCGGAGCCACACCCCCAGCCCUCAGGCUGGUGACACGCAUGGGUCCUCCUGGUCAUUGUGUCAGGUCACAGUUGUGGCCAAAGCAGCCCUCUGGUCACUGCCCGAGGCUUCUCUUCCUCUAGGAAAAUAAAUAUAUUUAUAUAUAAUUGGAAAAUGCUUUUGCUGGGUGGUGGUGGCACACACCCUUAAUCCCAGCACUCAGUAGGCAGAAGCAGGCAGAUCUCUAAGAAACCAGCCUGGUCUACAGAUUGAGUUUCAGGACUACACAGGGCUACACAGAGAAACUCUGUCUUUAAAAAAUGU
rnacentral:lncRNA from 1 species